AGAGUUUGAUCCUGGCUCAGAACGAACGCUGGCGGCAGGCUUAACACAUGCAAGUCGAGCGCCCCCUCGGGGGAGCGGCAGACGGGUGAGUAAUGCAUGGGAAUCUACCUGGCUCUACGGAAUAACUCAGGGAAACUUGAACUAAUACCGUAUACGUCCUUCGGGAGAAAGAUUUAUCGGAGUUAGAUGAGCCCAUGUCUGAUUAGCUAGUUGGUGAGGUAAAGGCUCACCAAGGCGACGAUCAGUAGCUGGUCUGAGAGGAUGAUCAGCCACACUGGGACUGAGACACGGCCCAGACUCCUACGGGAGGCAGCAGUGGGGAAUAUUGGACAAUGGGCGCAAGCCUGAUCCAGCCAUGCCGCGUGAGUGAUGAAGGCCCUAGGGUUGUAAAGCUCUUUCACCGGUGAAGAUAAUGACGGUAACCGGAGAAGAAGCCCCGGCUAACUUCGUGCCAGCAGCCGCGGUAAU
rnacentral:rRNA from 1 species